GAACCCUCCCACUUCCUGGGGAGAAAGUUGUACUUCCCCUAAGCAGUGGUUUGUUUUUAAUCUUAUGGAUAUUGUGAAUUACCCUUUUGUUAUUAGCUGCUGGAAAACAUCGAAUCUACUUCGGAGCCCAACAGUAGCAAGUGAAAAAUUCACUAUGGAAGGCCUGUCCCUUUCUUCCAUCUUUCCUGGAAUGGUGUCAAGGAUCAGAGAGAAUCUUCAUUUCUCUUUAUGGCAAAAAGUAAUAUUCCAUUGUGCUACCAGUGGAUGAAAGUGGCAGCCAUCUUUGUAAUGUUAC